AACGAACGCUGGCGGCAGGCUUAACACAUGCAAGUCGAGCGCCCCGCAAGGGGAGCGGCAGACGGGUGAGUAACGCGUGGGAAUCUACCCAUCUCUACGGAAUAACGCAUGGAAACGUGUGCUAAUACCGUAUACGUCCUUCGGGAGAAAGAUUUAUCGGAGAUGGAUGAGCCCGCGUUGGAUUAGCAAGUUGGUGGGGUAAAGGCCUACCAAGGCGACGAUCCAUAGCUGGUCUGAGAGGAUGAUCAGCCACACUGGGACUGAGACACGGCCCAGACUCCUACGGGAGGCAGCAGUGGGGAAUAUUGGACAAUGGGCGCAAGCCUGAUCCAGCCAUGCCGCGUGAGUGAUGAAGGCCCUAGGGUUGUAAAGCUCUUUCACCGGUGAAGAUAAUGACGGUGACCGGAGAAGAAGCCCCGGCUAACUUCGUGCCAGCAGCCGCCGUAAGAC
rnacentral:rRNA from 1 species